GCCCCAGUGAACAAGCACCAAACCAGCGAAUAAAGCUACAUGACUGGUGCUACAUGUUGGAGUUCCGUGUCGAUGACUGAUUGUACACAACGCAAGAAGAGUACUGUUACAUUAGCUCAUGUGCUUUUCUUCACGAGGAGGGGAUACUUACUAUAAAAUGUUGCUGGGUCUGUAACCAUGUUUGACAGUGACACUCGUCUCAUUCCAAUAGUGUUUUUCCCACAAAAAGUUCAGUAAUAGAUGUAUGCAAUUCCAGUUGAUAUUGCGAGGCCUGUUUUGUUUGCGCUGUCUGUGCGUUAGUAUAAUGUAAAUAAAAGUGGAUGCUCGUGAUGGUGUUUUCCUUGACUUUUAGACCACAUAGGCCUAGUAAAAUAAUCAAAUGACUUUACUGGCAUGUCUAUAAAAAAGUUUCAGUUUGCCUAACCAAGAUGUUAUGCUAAAAUCACCUCUGGUAUGCGUGUGGCAUUGAUACAACUGACAACACUUAAUCACCACGCAAACAGACAGAAAAUUCAUAUACACCUUUUUCCCUACAUAGUGCAGAGCCAAAUGAGCCCUGGUCAAAAGUAGUGCCCUAUAUAAGAAAUAGGGUACCAUUUGUUGCUAAGGUCAUGUCUCCUACUGUGUUCUAGAAUGAGAAAAAGGACCAGGAAGAAGUCAUAAUGAAGGUUCUAUGGUGUCUCUAUGUCAUCCUGCUCCUCCCCCUACUAACCUGCUCCAGCCAACCACAGUCCUAUCUAAAGUGUGUCAAUGACUUCAUCAGUAACAUCACGUGUGUGUUGAACAACACAUGCAUACCCCCAGACAUGCCGUGCACUCUGCAUGGUGAAUACCCCGGGUUUAAAAGGCAAUGUGAGAUGAAGUCCUUGGCCGGUUUCAACACAACCUUGAGAGGCGGCAGUCUGGUCUUUGAGGGCAAUCCAUUCUUUUGGGAAGAGGAUAAAAUAUCCAUUGUUGUACGGUGUGGACAAGCAGAAGAUUAUGUGAUACAGAUUGAAUACCUGUAUCAACCAUUUAACCACAUUAAAAUGCAUCCCCCUGGCAAGCCGACCGUCAUCAAUGCCUCAAUCGCCUGGACACCAGGAGCUCCCAUUUCAAAAAUGAUAGUCAACUAUGACUUCCAACUACAGUGGAAACAGGAACUACAUCACUGGGAGGAUGCUGUGGAGGUGAACAUAUCAAACAAACAGAUGUAUUUUGACCUGGACCCUGAGAUGCUGGAGAGAGGAAGGAGGUACCAGGUCAGAGUCCGGGUUCGAGCCGAUUACCCAGACUGUCAGUGGAGCGACUGGAGCCCCAGUGCAUCAUGGGUCUCCACUCUGGGCCAGAUGAAGCCAACAGGUAGUCCUGAUGUUCUAGACCAGGACUUUGUGGUGGUCACCGUGGUGGGAGCUGUUGUUGUACUGGUCCUGCUGGUCUCCAUGUUGCUCUGCAAAGGAAAGGUCAAGAAGAUUCUGAAUCCUCCUAUACCAGAUCCCUCCAGGUACUUUGAGGGCCUCAACCUCCAGCACGAUGGAAACUUCAAGGCUUGGCUGGGUCCUUUGUUCGCCUUUGAAGCCGUCGACUCUGCCUUGCACCGUGAAGACAUCUCCCAGGUAGAGAUUACCAACAACAUUGGCACCAUCGCCCCCCUGAGGAGGGAGACCGAUACUGCACUACUACUGAAGAAGAGAUUGGACAAUAGUGGCCGCUCCGGCUUCAGCAACUUCUUAUCUCAAUGCUCCCAGCCUGGAUCCACAUCCACCAAGUUGGAACCCUGCUCUGUACACUCCCCUUACGGACCAGUAGGUGGCACUACUGAAGAGAUAGAUGAGUGGAAGGAGGAGAACAGAGGAGAUAGGAUGGAUAGUAAUAGAGGUGUAGGGGGGAAGGACGAAGAUAUCAGGGGUGGAGGGAAGGAGGGAGAGAUGGGGGGUGGAGGGAAGGAGAGAGAGUUGGGGGGUGGAGGGAAGGAGAGAGAGAUGUGUGGUGAAGGGAAGGAUAGAGAGAUGUUGGGUGGAGGGAAGGAUAGAGAGCUGUAUGGUGGAAGUAUAUUUGGAGGCAUCAGUGGAGGUAAAGAUAUCGUCCAGGUUUCUUCUUACGAGCGUGUUGAGAAGCUCCAGGCCGAGCGUCGGGCCCUCAUAAGCCCAGAUUCAGGCAUCGGCAGUGGGGCAGAGGAUCAGGAAAGUCAGGAGAGCGUGGAGGAUGCGGUCGGGCCUAUUGCAUCCACCCCCCAUUUUGUCUCUCAGGACUUCCAUCUUGUUCCGCUUCUUCCUCUUAUCAAUAACAAUAACUUUACAUUCUGCUCCACCCCCUUACCCAUUUCCCUGUCCGCUUUCCCCCAGCAUCCCUUCACCCUACCUGGGUUGGAUAGUGUAGGGGGAAAGGGUACGGAGAUGGGGGUUGGAGGAGGUUCUCUCACAAUGUCUUCCUCCUAUGAACGUGUGGAUAAUCUGCAGCUCCAGGCCCAACUCUUGGCCCCUCAGAGACCAGAUUCAGACAUUGGCAGUGGGGGAGAGGAUCAGGAAAGCCAGGAGAGCGUGGGGGAUGAGGUCAGGCUAACUGUGACCCCCUGUAACCAUAUCCCUCUUAUUACCACUAACAAUAUAUUUCCAUUCUGUUCCACCCCCUUACCAAUCCCGCUGGAUGUUUUACCCCAACUACCCCUCACCUUCUCUGGGUUUGGGAUGGUUCCAUCCCUGGGACCCAGUACUAGUACCAGUCAUCAAGACAGGCUGUUGGAGAUAUCUCUCCGGUCUUCUUCAAUGGCAAUAGAGCCCUCUAGUGGAGGCUACAUGCCAGUGAAAGAAGCUCAGAACUGAACUAUGAAAACAUUUGACUAGGGAGGGACUAAUGAUUUAUAUAUACACUAGAUGCCUGACAGGCUGUUUUGAAGCCACCACUCCUCCAUCUUGGCACUCCCCCUCCAUUGUAAAAAAUACUUUGGAAGCUAUAGAAAUGCAUUUACUAAUGUCUACAUUUGUUUUUACCACAUGUAUAUGUAUUUAUUACAGACACACUUUUUUUAAAGAACUAAUGUAACUGUCCCCACUACAACAACAAAAAAAGACUUACAAAUACGUCAUUUGGUCGUUGAAACGUUUCAAUGACAUACUGUAGAAUUCCAUCCAUUCCAAUAGAGCUCCACAGUGGAGGUGCCAUAAUACCCAUAAAACCUAGUGUUCAAACAGGGAAACGGUUCCAAUUGUUUUUCCACCAUUCAUUUUUCCCUUAAUGGAUUUUAGAAACACUUAAAAUAAGGCCUGUGGCCUCCUGAGUGACGCAGUGGUCUAAAACUCUGCAUCGCAAGCUGUGUCAGAGCCCGGCUGUGAGCGGGAGCCCCAUAGGGCGACACACAAUUGGCCCAGGGUUUGGCCGGGGGGCUUUCCUAGGCUCAUCGCACUCUAUCGACUCCUUGUGGCAGUGUUAAAGUGUUAAACAAAUCAAAAUAUAUUGUAGAUUCUUCAAAGUUGCCACCUUUUGCCUUGAUGACAGCUUUGCACACUCUGUGUUCUCUCAACCAGUUUCACCUGGAAUGCUUUUCCAACUGUCUUGAAGGAGUUUCCACAUAUGAUGAGCACUUGUUGGCUGUGGUCCAACUCAUCCCAAACCCUCUCAAUUGGGUUGAGGUCGGGUAAUUGUGGAAUCCAGGUCAUUUGAUGCAGCACUCACAGCUUGGAGGUGCAGAGAUUAUCACAGUUUGGAGGUGCAUAGAUUAUCACAGUUUGGAGGUGCAGAGAUUAUCACAGUUUGGAGGUGCAGAGAUUAUCACAGUUUGGAGGUGCAUAGAUUAUCACAGUUUGGAGGUGCAGAGAUUAUCACAGUUUGGAGGUGCAGAUAUCAUCACAGCUUGGAGGUGCAGAGAUCAUCACAGCUUGGAGGUUCAGAGAUCAUCAUAGCUUGGAGGUGCAGAGAUCAUCAUAGCUUGGAGGUGCAGAGAUCAUCACAGCUUGGAGGUGCAGAGAUCAUCACAGCUUGGAGGUGCAGAGAUCAUCACAGCUUGGAGGUGCAGAGAUCAUCACAGCUUGGAGGUGCAGAGAUCAUCACAGCUUGGAGGUGCAGAGAUCAUCACAGCUUGGAGGUGCAGAGAUCAUCACAGCUUGGAGGUGCAGAGAUUAUCACAGCUUGGAGGUGCAGAGAUUAUCACAGUUUGGAGGUGCAUAGAUUAUCACAGUUUGGAGGUGCAUAGAUUAUCACAGUUUGGAGGUGCAGAGAUUAUCACAGUUUGGAGGUGCAUAGAUUAUCACAGUUUGGAGGUGCAUAGAUUAUCACAGCUUGGAGGUGCAGAGAUUAUCACAGUUUGGAGGUGCAUAGAUUAUCACAGUUUGGAGGUGCAUAGAUUAUCACAGUUUGGAGGUGCAGAGAUUAUCACAGCUUGGAGGUGCAGAGAUUAUCACAGUUUGGAGGUGCAUAGAUUAUCACAGUUUGGAGGUGCAGAGAUUAUCACAGUUUGGAGGUGCAGAGAUUAUCACAGUUUGGAGGUGCAGAGAUUAUCACAGUUUGGAGGUGCAGAGAUUAUCACAGUUUGGAGGUGCAGAGAUUAUCACAGUUUGGAGGUGCAUAGAUUAUCACAGUUUGGAGGUGCAGAGAUUAUCACAGCUUGGAGGUGCAGAGAUUAUCACAGUUUGGAGGUGCAGAGAUUAUCACAGUUUGGAGGUGCAUAGAUUAUCACAGUUUGGAGGUGCAGAGAUUAUCACAGUUUGGAGGUGCAGAGAUUAUCACAGUUUGGAGGUGCAGAGAUUAUCACAGUUUGGAGGUGCAGAGAUUAUCACAGUUUGGAGGUGCAUAGAUUAUCACAGUUUGGAGGUGCAGAGAUUAUCACAGUUUGGAGGUGCAGAGAUUAUCACAGUUUUGAAGUGCAGAGAUUAUCACAGUUUGGAGGUGCAGAGAUCAUCACAGCUUGGAGGUGCAUAGAUCAUCACAGCUUGGAGGUGCAGAUAUCAUCACAGCUUGGAGGUGCAGAGAUCAUCACAGCUUGGAGGUGCAGAGAUCAUCAUAGCUUGGAGGUGCAGAGAUCAUCAUAGCUUGGAGGUGCAGAGAUCAUCACAGCUUGGAGGUGCAGAGAUCAUCACAGCUUGGAGGUGCAGAGAUCAUCACAGCUUGGAGGUGCAGAGAUCAUCACAGCUUGGAGGUGCAGAGAUCAUCACAGCUUGGAGGUGCAGAGAUCAUCACAGCUUGGAGGUGCAGAGAUCAUCACAGCUUGGAGGUGCAGAGAUCAUCACAGCUUGGAGGUGCAGAGAUCAUCACAGCUUGGAGGUGCAGAGACACAUGCAGAUAAUCUGUUCACCUACUCUGCAUCUCACAAAGACAUGGCGGUUGGAACCAGAAAUCUAAAAUUUCGACUCAUCAGACCAAGGGACAGAUUUCCACCUUUCUAAUUUCCAUUGCUUGUGUAUCUUGUCCCAAGCAAGUCUCUUCUUAUUAUUGGUGUCCUUUAAUAGUGGUUUCUUUGCAGCAAUUCAGCCAUGAUUCACACCGUCUCCUCUGAACUGGUGAUGUUGAGAUGUGUCUGUUAUUUAAACUCUGUGAAGCAUUUAAUUGGGCUGCAAUUUCUGAGGUGGUAACUGUAAUGAACUUAUCCUCUGCAGCAGAGGUAACUCUGGGUCUUCCUUUCCUGUGGGGGUCCUCAUGAGAGCCA